GGAGAGAGGACAUUGGCCUCCCUACAGGAAGCAUUGAGGGGAACUCCACCCUGGCCGCUGGUCUUCAGACUGGCUCACCAAGUGGCUCUGGGUAUAAACUUCCUCCACACUCUGCCCCGACCCGUGCUCCACCAGGACCUGAAGCCCCAAAACGUGCUGCUGGACGACGCUCUCAAUGCCAAGCUUACAGAUUUUGGCCUUGCCCGAUUUCUUGCAGCGUCACGCAGGUUUCCAAGGACAGUGGACCAGUAGGAGGGACGCUAUCAUACAU